rnacentral:rRNA from 1 species
GACGAACGCUGGCGGCGUGCUUAACACAUGCAAGUCGAACGGAAAGGCCCUGCUUUUGUGGGGUGCUCGAGUGGCGAACGGGUGAGUAACACGUGAGUAACCUGCCCCUGACUUUGGGAUAACUUCAGGAAACUGGGGCUAAUACCGGAUAGGAGCUCCUGCUGCAUGGUGGGGGUUGGAAAGUUUCGGCGGUUGGGGAUGGACUCGCGGCUUAUCAGCUUGUUGGUGGGGUAGUGGCUUACCAAGGCUUUGACGGGUAGCCGGCCUGAGAGGGUGACCGGCCACAUUGGGACUGAGAUACGGCCCAGACUACUACGGGAGGCAGCAGUGGGGAAUAUUGCACUAUGGGCGGAAGCCUGAUGCAGCAACGCCGCGUGCGGGAUGACGGCCUUCGGGUUGUAAACCGCUUUCGCCUGUGACGAAGCGUGAGUGACGGUAAUGGGUAAAGAAGCACCGGCUAACUACGUG